rnacentral:sRNA from 1 species
GCUGGGUGCAGUGGCGCAUGCCUGUAAUCCCAGUGGCUUGGGAGGCCAAGGCAGGAGGAUCAAGAGUUCAAAGCCUGCCUCAGCAAAAGCAAGGCACUAAGCAACUCAGUGAGACCCUGUCUCUA